rnacentral:rRNA from 1 species
GACGAACGCUGGCGGCGUGCUUAAUACAUGCAAGUCGAACGGAAAGGCCCUGCUCUUGUGGGGUGCUCGAUUGGCGAACGGGUGAGUAUCACGUGAGUAUCCUGCCCUUGACUUUGGGAUAACUUCAGGAAACUGGGGCUAAUAUCGGAUAGGAGCUCCUGCUGCAUGGUGGGGGUUGGAAAGUUUCGGCGGUUGGGGCUAGACUCGCGGCUUAUCCGCUUGUUGGUGGGGUAGUGGCUUACCAAGUCUUUGACGGAUAGCCCGCCUGAGAGGGUGACCGGCCACAAUGGGACUGAGAUACGGCCCAGACUCCUACGGGAGGCAGCAGUGGGGAAUAUGGCGCAAUGGGCGGAAGCCUGAGACAGCAACGCCGCGUGCGUGAUGACGGCCUUCGAGUUGUAAACCGCUUUCGCCUGUGACGAAGCGUGAGUGACGGUAAUUGGUAAAGAAGCACCGGCUAACUACGUG